AGUGCCGGGUGGUCAGCUCUGGACAGAGUUUGGAUUUUGGUCGAGGAUGCAGCUUUGAACGGCCCGGUCUCAUAUGGGGCGAAUCGUUUAUGAUUGAGCGUGCAUCUGUUCAUUAGCUUCUACGUGCAUGAAUAAGUCGACAUUCAACUUUAAAUAUACACAAUUAAAAUUUCUCAUCUCAAAUGGCUUGGCAUGAAAUUGUAAUGAAAGACGACUUAGGACUUGACAGGACUUCCGAACCGUCUGGUGACGUCAUACCCCGCGCAAGGAAUGCAUUUGAGCAUGUCCCGGCGUAACUCUGCGGUUAUAAACUGAACACUGCUACGUUGUGUAUCAAUUACAUGCCAGACACGCAAAGAGACGUAUUAUAUAAAUAGACGUUAUCGAUUCAGGAGGAUAUUCCGCAGAAAACAGCAUUGCGUUUUCAGUUUUCAUGAGGCCAGACGGACGAACAGCGACGCAUCUCGACGUGCCGGUACACCAACUCAAAUUGGGUCGAAGUAAAUCGUUGAAUAAUCCCCGUACGUCCAGCAUUCCCGCGAUGAGCGUGCGCCCGAAGAGGACCUUCAGCCUACCGAACAGGGAGCGAGCAAGCUUACCGAUCGUUCAAAUAAAUUUCUCGGACAAUGAUCGAGUAGAGGAGGACAGCUUCAGCGACAAAGAGUCGGAGAGGACUGGCUAUACGAUUAGCACAGGAGAGUACGUUUCUAGCGGAGGGGAAGCGAUGGAACCAUUAUUCGGCGUGCUACUGAGUGUUAUAUUUCUAAUAUGGUCGUGGAUGCUGGAUGCCUUCGACUUAUAGCGAUAUAAAAAUAUGUAGAUAUUUAUUAUUCAUUAAUUGGAUGUACAUAAUUAAAUUAAUCAAUCCCUCGAAAACUAAACACAUUUUUUUUCAUUCAAAUUGGCGAUAAAGUAUUCAAAGACGGGAGCUAAAUCAUGAAUAUUGUAGCCGACUUUGACGGCAAUUGUACUGAAAAAGGUCUUUGCUUCAAAUUUGAAAGGACAUUUUGUCAAUAAACACUCGCUUGUUGCGAACGCAUUUCGAGAACCGGUGGCAGAUAGGAAAACGCGAUAAUGGAAACUCGAGUGUUUUAUCGCCUGUAAAACGCGCCAAGUGUUUUAUUAUGACAUAAAAUACGAAAUAUGCUCGAUGCUCUUAAAGUGCUUCGGUAAGCUCUUAUUGAGGUAGACAACUUUCGCGAAAUAAGCAAUUUAACCGGAUAAAAAAAGCGUGCAAACUUCAUAGUUCAAAUUUCCCCUAAACGAACAAGUAAAAAUGUGGCAUUAGCUUUCGUUUCUUUCGCCCACAUCGUUUACUAACUUCAAAUUUGCAUAAGUGACCGUCGGAACGGGAAUUAUUACCGAUAAUGCAGGUGUCUUGAAAUAUUGGACUUUAUACCUAUAUGCAUGUUUAGUGGAACUUUCGCAAAAAGACGAUGGGCUAUUGAUGAACUACACAGAUAAACACUCCUUUAGAAAAAACUGCUGUAAAUAAAGUAUAGUGACCUUAUUUUUACUGCAAAUUGUAUUAUAUGCAUUUGAACAUGUGUGAUUUUUUGCUAAAAGCUCUUAGUUUUUUUAAAUUUGAUGGAUUUUUAACUGCUG